AGAGUUUGAUCCUGGCUCAGAACGAACGCUGGCGGCAGGCCUAACACAUGCAAGUCGAACGAACCUUUUAGGUGAGUGGCGCACGGGUGCGUAACGCGUGGGAAUGUGCCUCUGGGAGCGGAACAACGGCUGGAAACGGCCGCUAAUACCGCAUAAUGACUUCGGUCCAAAGAUUUAUCGCCCAGAGAUCAGCCCGCGUCUGAUUAGGUAGUUGGUGGGGUAAAAGCCUACCAAGCCGACGAUCAGUAGGGGGUCUGAGAGGAUGAUCCCCCACACUGGGACUGAGACACGGCCCAGACUCCUACGGGAGGCAGCAGUGAGGAAUAUUGGACAAUGGAGGCAACUCUGAUCCAGCCAUGCCGCGUGAGUGAAGAAGGCCUUAGGGUUGUAAAGCUCUUUCAAUAGUGAAGAUAAUGACGGUAACUAUAGAAGAAGCCCCGGCUAAAUUCGUGCCAGCAGCCGCGGUAAUACGAAUGGGGCAAGCGUUGUUCGGAAUCACUGGGCUUAAAGCGUGCGUAGGCGGAUUUGCAAGUCAGGAGUGAAAUCCCGGGGCUCAACCCCGGAACUGCUCUUGAAACUGCAAGUCUAGAAUCCGGGAGGGGUUAGUGGAAUUCCUAGUGUAGAGGUGAAAUUCGCAGAUAUU
rnacentral:rRNA from 1 species